UACAGAGGGGGCAAGCGUUGUUCGGAAUUACUGGGCGUAAAGGGCGCGUAGGCGGCCGUGUAAGUCACUUGUGAAAUCCCGGGGCUCAACUCCGGGGCUGCAGGUGAGACUGCGUGGCUAGAGCACGGUAGAGGCGAGUGGAAUUCCCGGUGUAGCGGUGGAAUGCGUAGAUAUCGGGAAGAACACCGGUGGCGAAGGCGGCUCGCUGGGCCGUUGCUGACGCUGAGGCGCGAAAGCGUGGGGAGCAAACAGG
rnacentral:rRNA from 1 species